UAUAGAAGUCGGACAGACGAUUAGGUAAUAAAGAUAUAUAGCGUGAGACGAGCGGGAAGCAGCAAACAGACAGAUAAUAGCGAAAGGAAAUAUAGUUGGCGUGAAGUUAAGUACCUCAGAAGUGAUAGACCUAACGACUGACGUGGUUCUAAAGUAAUUGAAUCAGCCUGAGUGCACUUUGACAAAAGGAACAGAGGAUCUUCAGAAGAAAGAAGACCUAACGAUUACGGUGACUCGCGCCACCAUUAAGUGGCAAAAGUACCUCAAAGAUCUGUCUCAAACAUGGAUCCACAACUUCCGUAUUUCUUGAACGACUACUUGUUAUCAAACAACUAUGAUCUUGAAUGUCUUAAGCCGGAAGAUGUCCUGCUAACCAUAAACGAUACCGAUUCCCUAGAAUGUACUUACUCGGAAGUUCCCAAAGAUGACUUCUCUAAAAAUUUCGGUCUGCUUCCAAUUCCGAUGUGCAAUUUUACGGAUGAUGAAGAAAUAGAAGCCUUUACCAGACUGAUGAUUACUACACAAUUACUGAAAAGCCUUUCAGCUGUUUUUCAUAUUAUCGUUAAUAAGGUUUUAUGUAUUGGAAUUUUGUUUAGCCAUCUAACUAGUGGCCAUGUUUUCU